rnacentral:rRNA from 1 species
UACGUAGGGAGCGAGCGUUGUCCGGAAUGAUUGGGCGUAAAGGGCGUGUAGGCGGCCAAUUAAGUCUGAAGUGAAAUCCCUGGAUUCAAUUCAGGGUCUGCUUUGGAAACUGGUUGGCUUGAGUGCAGGAGAGGCUAUCGGAAUUCCCGGUGUAGCGGUGAAAUGCGUAGAGAUCGGGAGGAACACCAGUGGCGAAGGCGGGUAGCUGGACUGUAACUGACGCUAAGGCGCGAAAGUGUGGGGAG